ensembl:lncRNA novel transcript, antisense to XYLT1
GGGGCAGGCAGGCUCUCUGUCACCUGCAGAGGCUGAGACAACCUCAAGCCAGAGGAGUCCUGCCUAAGAAAUUGGGAAAGAGAGCGGAGAAGACAAAAAGCAGGUUUGGGAAGGCUGCAGGGAGCUGAUGAGUCAUUUGAUCAUCUGGAAAGCAGAUGGGAAGACAAGUGGAGACCAGGAGGCCCUGGGGAAGAGAAGCUGUGUUCACGCCAACCUUCCCCAGCAGGCCUCAGAAGCUGGGGGUCAAAAGGGACCACAACGCCCAUUUAAACAAGGAGGAAGAUGCUGAACAGCUAAAGGGUUAAUUCAAAAGAAAAAACAAAAGAAGAAAUGGCCAUUUCUUUUCCUUGUUCACUCAAUGUUCCUUCAACAAAUUAUUCUAUGUGCUUGGAAUAUAUGAGGCCCUGGGUUGGGUGUGGUAUGCAACAGAAAAAUAAAACAUAAGAACAUAGUAUGUCUCUUCCCACAGGGUCAUAUGGUCUUUCGAAAGUCACCCUUUUAAUUUGAAACCUUUUGCUGCUUCUUUAUUUUUAUUUUUUAAUUUAAUUUUUUUGAGACAGAGUCUUGCUCUGUCACCCAGGCUGGAAUGCAGUGACGCAAUCUCGGCUCACUGCAACCUCUGCCUCCGGAGUUCAAGCGAUUCUCCUGCCUCAGCCUCCCAAGUAGCUGGGAUUAUAGACCCCUGCCACCACCCCAGCUAGUUUUUAUAUUUUUAGGAGAGAUGGGGUUUCGCCAUGUUGGCCAGCAGUCUUGAACUCCUGGCCUCAGGUGAUCUGCCUGCCUCGGCCUCCCAAAGUGCUAGGAUUACAGGCAGGAGCCACUGCGUCCAGCCUAUUUAUUCUUAUUUUAAAAAUUUAUAUAUAUGUGUAUAUAUAUAAGGGGUAUAACACAGCGUUAUUUUUAAGGAAUAAGAGAUAUUUUGCUUUUCAAAGUGCCUGCUAAGCCCAGUGACAUACGCUUGGUUAGCAAUCACUAAAUGUGGACACAUUAUAAAUCCUCUAUAUAUUUUAUAGAGAUGGGGUCUUGCUAUGUUGCCCAGUAUGGACAUGCGUUCCUGGGCUCAACUGAUCCUCCUGCUCAGCCUCCCAUGUGCUGGGAUUAUAGGCAUGAGACAGCAGCACUCAGUCUCUUUGUUUAUUUCUCUGCCUGCUCCCCACCCAUCUGUGUGACCCCUACUAAAAUAACCACUGCAUGGUGUUCAAGGAAGAGUAUGGCCUUGGGAUUCAGGCAGGUCUGCAUUCUAACCCAGGGCCUUCUACCUUCUGGCUAUGUGCCCCUGAGCAAGUAACUUGGCCUCUGCUAUGGCUUAGAUGUGUGUCCCCUCCAAACCGCAUGUUGAAAUUUGAUCCCCAGUGUUGGAGGUGGGGUCUAAUGGGAGGUGUUUGGGUUUUGAGGGUGGAUCCCUCAUGAAUAGAUCAAUACCCUCCUUCUAUUAGUUCUGCAAGAGCUGGAUGUUUACAAACAGUCUGGCCUUCCCCUCCCUCUCUCUUGCUUUCUUGCUUACCUGUAAUAUCUGCACAUGCCAACUCCCCUUCACCUUCCACUGUGAGUGAAGCUGUCGGAGGCCCUCGCCAGAUGCAGAUGCCUAAUCUUGAACUUACCAGCCA